rnacentral:miRNA from 11 species
AUCAAUGUAAUGAGGUCCAUAUUUUUAUAUAUAUAUAUAUAUGUGUGUGUGUGUGUGUGUGUGUGUGUGUGUGUGUGUGUACACAUACAUACACUAGCUGUAUGGAAAAUAAA